AAACGUAGUUACCUCCAGAACCUAGUUUGAUUCUGCUGUAGGCGACCAUGUGUGGCGGAACUCCACAGUUUCAAGCACACACUUUAGCCGGACGUGGACCGCACUACUACCUACAGCCAGGUACCCAAACGCCUCCACAAGCCCAGAUUAGUGCAUUGCUCAAAGAAGCUUAUCAGCAGAGGAAGGUGCAGAAGUCUACGACAGGUCAACGUGAGAGAAUAGAAGACUUCCAGAGCUCAGCUUUAAAGGCACAGUCUACAGCACAGCCCUUCCCUGAGGUUCAAAGACACUGAUUGCUCAAGAGGAGAGAGAAUGACGGCCCUUUGGAGAAGCACUACACGAAAGGACAGAGGACCAGCCGGGUGUGGGGGAAGCUGGAUCUGUUUAUUUCCUUCUCAAUUUAAUUCUCUUCACAUUUUUCUGUGGUGAUACAGAUGGAAGUCCGAACUUUACCAAUCCUAGGGACAAGAGUGCUACCAAAAAGAGUCAUCCUCAACCUUAGAGUUUUCAUUCUUAAAAGAGGCUCACAGACCGGUGGUGGUGGCCCACGCUUUUAAUCCCAGCACUUGGGAGUUGGAAGCAGGCAGAUUUCUGAGUUCGAGGCCAGCCUGGUCUACAGAGUGAGUUCCAGGACAGCCAGGGCUACACAGAGAAACCCUGUCUCUGGAAAAAAAAAAA